UUGGUUGCCUGGUACUGUAAACAUCCCCGACUGGAAGCUGUGAUGUACAUGUUCUAGCUUUCAGUAGGGUGUUUGCUGCUCCAUUCUUCCGCAGACUCCUAGACCAGUGUUGUUGUUUGUAGAUCUAGGGCUGCAUUCCAGUCAAAAUUAGCACCUUCUCUUCCUCCCAUCACUUGGAGUAAACCCUCCAGUGAUGUAUGUAUGGCGAAGUGGAUGAGGGAAGCGGUUGCAAGUAAAAGUGGAUCGGGACCACGGGAGGCUGCUGAGGGGAGGAUGGCUCAUAAUAAUGGCCAGAACUGCAUGAAUGGAAUGGCAUACGUUUGAUGUAUUUGAUACCAUUCUGCUCCAGCCAUUACCACAAGCCUGCCCUACCCUAUUAAGAUGCCACCAACCUCAGGUUUGCAUCUGCAUUUAAAUAACUGAAUGUUAUUGUUUGUACAUCUGGUGUUUCCCAGACACAAGUGAGUGCGCUUUACUUCCAGUUCUACUGCUGUGGAAAUGGAAGUAUCCUAGCUUCUCCAUUCUGAGUGUAGUUACUGUAAACAUCCUACACUCAGCUAUAGCCUGUAUGGAAGGCUGGGGGAGGCUGUUUACUUUGGCUGGCUUGGACAGCUUCAAUCUGCAUGGAUGGGAUUUAAUGGAUCACUCAUGAUGAGAUGAAAAGAUUUGUUUUUGUACUAACAGAGAAGGCUGCAAUUGAUUCCCAUUGGUAGUUUUUUUUAAUGAGAAACCUAACAUGUAGAAGAUGCAAUCAAUGGAUGAUAUGUGGAUGCAUUGUCACCGAUCAAUAAUGACAAUACUGUUUGUUAUUGCAAAACAAUAAACUUUGCAAAUGUGUAUUGAUUGACUGACUGUUUAUUUUAUUCCUUGGAAUGUUUAUAAUGUAUAUCACAGUUUAUAGCUUACUAUUAGCCUAACAUUUCUAUGGACCUGGUUGAAAAUGGUAGUGAUUACUGAAGAAAAUGCACAUUCAUUCACAAAUUGAAAUGUUUUGCCAGUUCACACACCUGUAUUCAAAAUCCAUGUAGGCUACAUUAAUUUAAAGCUUAAUUAUUUCAUCACAUUAUUUAUAUAAAUUCGUUUUCUACUGUUAUGGGAACAAAUUUAAUAACCAUUGAGCAUAUCUUGGCGUGAGUAACCAAUCAUGAUAUGUCAGAGGAUUUUGUAAUAAGUAGAGUACUGUACACGAUCCCAUUCCAAAGAAUGGAUUGGAAACCUUUUACAAAUGUAUCAAGGGUAGACUAUGCCUUCUGGUCAUCCCAGCCACUGGGGGAGAACAUCCCAAACCAGCCUGCUUUUCUCUCCACAGGAAGACUUUAUCCGCCAUAUUUGUUGUCGCAGAUUCGCCAGAAACCUUCCUCAAAACAAAUAAAAAUACGAUUUUCAAUUACUUAUUCAAUAAGUAAUGUAGAUAUAAAUAAAUGUACAUGUAACUCUUAGGGUAUUACGUUUUAUUUUACAAACAUGGCGACGUCAACUGCAGGUGGGACUUCCUCCAUCUUCAUGUGUAAACUGUGCAACCUGUUCUCUCCACACCGAGCACAGCUCCUCUCCCAUGUGUCUGAGAAGCACCACACAGAGGGGCUCAACGCUGAUGACAUCAUUGUGGCCCUCAUGCCAUUGACAGCUCCACUGGAGAAUGGUGGAGGUGAGCACCUCUUCAAAGCAGCCAAGGAUACUAAUAGUCGAGAUAGCCCUGUUAAGAGAAAACGAGGACGUCCUAAGGGCUCAACCAAGAAGAUUGUAGCUGAUGGGCCCAUGACAGAGACUACUAGCCCUAACCAGAAAAAGCAGAAACAACAGACAGUAGAGGCCCAAUCAGAAGCUGGGCCAGUGGACGAGGAAGAACCAGAGGACAACAAUGCCCUGGACUGCAAGAAGUGCAACCGUGUGUUCGGCAACAGACGACAGAUCAUGAAACACAUCUGCUUGAUGGACCUCAGAGAGGAUGAGGAUCAGGAGGAGGACAACGACAAAGAGUUUGAGGCUCAACCUGGCGCAGCAGAAGGCAAAGAGGAGGAUCGGGAGAGAAGCUCAAAGAGGCCACGGCCACUCCGCUCUGAGAGGGUUUCUCUUGUGAAGGAGCAGGAACCAGCAGGAGGCCCCAAGAACCCCAUCAUCAGUGUGGUUCUGACCGCUCAUGAGGCACUUCCUGGUGCGACAAGGAUAGUGCCGAUCGAGGCCACCCCGGCAGAGCCGGUUACUCCAGCAGACACAGACCCUCAGGAGGCAGGACAGAAGAGAGGAUUUCAGGAAUAUUCCAUACAACAAGCUGCUUAUGAAGUGCCAUUAAAGUCAAACAGAAUAGGACAGACCCAGUUGAAGAUCUUCACCUGCGAAUACUGCAACAAGGUCUUCAAGUUCCGCCACUCGUUGCAGGCCCAUCUGCGAACCCACACCAACGAGAAACCCUUCAAGUGCCCACACUGUGACUACGCCAGUGCCAUCAAAGCCAACCUCAGCGUUCACUUGCGCAAGCACACGGGAGAGAAGUUCAGCUGUGAACACUGCUCCUUCCAGUGCCUCAGCAAGGGCCACCUCAAGGUGCACGUGGAGAGAGUUCACCACAAGAUCAAGCAGCACUGUCUCUUCUGCAAAAAGAAGUACUCUGAUGUCAAGAACCUGCUGAAACACAUGAGGGAGAGCCACGACCUUGAGGACAAGAAGGUGAAGGACUCGUACCAUGAGUAUAGUCUACAGACCAGGGAAGGCAAGAGGCAGCUCCUCUACGACUGCCAGAUCUGCGACCGCAAGUUCAAGAACGAGCUGGACCGUGACCGCCACAUGAUGGUUCACGGUAGCGAGAGGCCGUUCGGCUGCGAGCUGUGUGACCACGGCUGCACCAAGUUUCAGGCUCUCCAGGCUCACGUCCGUAAGCAUCCCUUCCUCUACGUGUGUGCCGCCUGCCAGCAGAAGUUUGUCAGCUCCGUGCGGCUGAAGACCCACCUGAAGGAGGCUCACCCAGAGUCAGAGGAGGCGGUUGGGUUCUCAGAGUCCAUCAACAGCAGCUUCUGUCUGCUGGAGCCGGGGGACGACAUCAAGAGAGAGAUGCUGAGACAGGAUGAGAUCAGGAUGGCUGAGGAGCUAUCUCUACUCAACGCCCAGCAGGAGGAGGAGGAGGCCUUCACUGGUGACCCUUCAGAGGAACAGGAGGAGGCCCUCGCUGGUGACCCUUCAGAGGAACAGGAGGAGGUCCUCGCUGGUGACCCUUCAGAGGAACAGGAGGAGGUCCUCGCUGGUGACCCUUCAGAGGAACAGGAGGAGGUCCUCGCUGGUGACCCUUCAGAGGAACAGGAGGAGGCCCUCGCUGGUGACCCUUCAGAGGAACAGGAGGAGGCCCUCGCUGGUGACCUCUCAGAGGAACAGGAGGAGGAGACCCUCGCUGGUGACCCUUCAGAGGAACAGGAGGAGGAGGAGGAGGAGGCCCUCGCUGGUGACCCCUCAGAGGAGCAGGAGCAGGAGGAGGGGGAGGGAGAGGAACAGGAGGAAGGACUGGGAGAGGGAGAGGAACAGGUGGUCCCUGAUCUGGGGCCUGAGGAGACAUGCGUGUUAAAUCAACCUGCACAAAAGACUGAGACUCUACCAGACAGAACUGAGCCAAUCAGUCCUGAACAAACCCAGACAGCAAGCAAAGGCACGACCCAGGAAGUAAUCAGUGAGGAGAGACCUGAUAAGACACUGAUUGAGGAAGACAAGCCUCAUGGGGAGAAUGACGUCAUUGUGGCUGAACAAGACACUUUGGUAGAAAGGCCUUCAGGCAAGGAGGAGUCAGUGGUGGGCCACCAGCAGCAUCCAGAAGAAGACAAAGGUUCUUCAUCAACAUCACAAGGUCAUGUUGAGGAGACUCUCCGGUCUUUGGUUCUGAUUCAGGGGGAGGUCAUAGGUCAAACAAACGCUUCAGCUGGCCCACAAGGAGAAGAUGGCACAACGGAGGAGAGGAGCGCUUUCCAACAGAUUCUAGAUAAGUUGCAGAAAAGGCAGCUGAACAUGGUUGUCUUUGACAGAAUCCGAAAAGUAUACGGGGACCUGGAAUGUGAAUACUGUGGAAAGCUCUUCUGGUACCAAGUGCACUACAACAUGCAUGUGCGUACUCACACAAAAGAGCAUCUACAUUACUGUACCCAGUGCAGCUAUUCGUCCAUCACCAAGAACUGUCUGAAGCGACACCUGAUCCAGAGACACAGUAACAUCCUGCUCCAGUGCCCCAUGGAACACUGUCAGUACUGCACACCUGACAAGUACAAGCUGCAGGCCCACCUCAAAACACACUUUGACAAUGAGAAGAAAAGCUUUGCUUGCCCUGUGUGUGAGGAAUCGUUCACUGAAGAUAAACUUAAGCAUCAUAUCAAGAGCUUUCAUCCAGAGACGCCGAUGAACACCAUCUCCGAGGCGCUUGGGGUGAGGGUGCAGAUGAAGGGCUUGAUCGGGAAGAGAGCGUCUAAGUGUCCUUACUGUGACAGCUACUUCAUGAGGAACGGAGCUGAUCUGCAGCAGCACAUCUGGGCUCACCAAGGAGUGAAGCCCUUCAAGUGUUCCCUGUGUGACUACGCCAGCCGCAGUAAGAGCAACCUGAAGGCCCACAUGAGCAGACACACCACGGAGAAGACACACCUGUGUGACAUGUGUGGCAAGAAGUUCAAGUCCAAGGUCACUCUGAAGAGCCACAAGCUGAUGCACACAGAGGACGGCAAGCAGUUCCAAUGUACAGAGUGUGAUUACAGCGCUGCACAGAAACCUCUACUGGUACGACACAUGGAGCAGCACGCCUCUUUCAAGCCCUACCGCUGCGGCCACUGUCACUACUCCUGUAACAUAGCAGGACCCCUGAAGAGACAUUACAGCAAGAAGCACCCCAACCAGGAGUACUGUAACGCAGGGCCUGGGCCAGCCACCUCUGAGGCUGUGGAGCAGCAAGGUGAGUCACUCAGCAGAGUCACACCGAUCUCUGUGUCUCAUACUGUACCAACCAGGAGUACUGUAACGCAGGGCCUGGGCCAGCCACCUCUGAGGCUGUGGAGCAGCAAGGUGAGUCACUCAGCAGAGUCACACCGAUCUCUGUGUCUCAUACUGUACCAACCAGGAGUACUGUAACGCAGGGCCUGGGCCAGCCACCUCUGAGGCUGUGGAGCAGCAAGGUGAGUCACUCAGCAGAGUCACACCGAUCUCUGUGUCUCAUACUGUACCAACCAGGAGUACUGUAACGCAGGGCCUGGGCCAGCCACCUCUGAGGCUGUGGAGCAGCAAGGUGAGUCACUCAGCAGAGACACACCGAUCUCUGUGUCUCAUACUGUACCAACCAGGAGUACUGUAACGCAGGGCCUGGGCCAGCCACCUCUGAGGCUGUGGAGCAGCAAGGUGAGUCACUCAGCAGAGUCACACCGAUCUCUGUGUCUCAUACUGUACCAACCAGGAGUACUGUAACGCAGGGCCUGGGCCAGCCACCUCUGAGGCUGUGGAGCAGCAAGGUGAGUCACUCAGCAGAGACACACCGAUCUCUGUGUCUCAUACUGUACCAACCAGGAGUACUGUAACGCAGGGCCUGGGCCAGCCACCUCUGAGGCUGUGGAGCAGCAAGGUGAGUCACUCAGCAGAGUCACACCGAUCUCUGUGUCUCAUACUGUACCAACCAGGAGUACUGUAACGCAGGGCCUGGGCCAGCCACCUCUGAGGCUGUGGAGCAGCAAGGUGGAGUGAAGUGUCCUGUGUGUGACUGUCCUAUAUCUCUAGGUGGAGUGAAGUGUCCUGUGUGUGACUGUCCUGUAUCUCUAGGUGGAGUGAAGUGUCCUGUGUGUGACUGUCCUAUAUCUCUAGGUGGAGUGAAGUGUCCUGUAUCUCUAGGUGGAGUGAAGUGUCCUAUAUCUCUAGGUGGAGUGAAGUGUCCUAUAUCUCUAGGUGGAGUGAAGUGUCCUGUGUGUGACUGUCCUGUAUCUCUAGGUGGAGUGAAGUGUCCUGUGUGUGACUGUCCUGUAUCUCUAGGUGGAGUGAAGUGUCCUAUAUCUCUAGGUGGAGUGAAGUGUCCUAUAUCUCUAGGUAGAGUGAAGUGUCCUGUGUGUGACUAUGUCCUAUAUCUCUAGGUGGAGUGAAGUGUCCUGUGUGUGACUAUGUCCUAUAUCUCUAGGUGGAGUGAAGUGUCCUGUGUGUGACUAUGUGCUAUAUCUCUAGGUGGAGUGAAGUGUCCUGUAUCUCUAGGUAGAGUGAAGUGUCCUGUGUGUGACUAUGUCCUAUAUCUCUAGGUGGAGUGAAGUGUCCUGUGUGUGACUAUGUGUACGGUACCAAGUGGGAGAUGAACAGACACCUGAAGAACAAGCAUGGCCUCAAAGUGAUUCAGAGUGACGUGCUUGGUCUCAACCAAUGGGAGGUAAGGUUUCAUACUCUCCUAUAUAUAUGGUCAAUAUUAAGAUGUUUUUCUAUGUCUAGAAACCGUGUUGUGUGUGUGUUCUGAGGUGGUGGAGCAGUCGGUGGAGGAGCCCCUUACCCAGUACCUCCACAUCACUGAGACAGAGGACCCUCAGGGUACUGAAGCUGCCGUGUCGG